UCUGUGGGCUACUGGGGCUGCAUAAUUCCAACCUCUCCUUCUGUGUUUACAAGCCUUCUCUUCUGUGUGUUUAAUCUCCCUCUGCCUUUCUUUUAUAAGGACACUUGUCAUUGGAUUUAGGGCCCACUCAGAUUAUCCAGGAAAAUCUUUUCUCAAGAUCCUUAAUUUAACAUCUGCAAAGACCCUUUUGGCAAAUUAGGUGAUAUUCACCGAGGCUGUAGGCUGAAUUUUUCUCCUCCUUCAAAUUCAUACGUUGAUGCCCUAAGCCCCAGUGCGAUGGUGUUUGGAUCUGGGGUCUUUGGGAAGUACUUAGGUUUAGAUGAGAUUAUGAGGUGGGCCCUUCAUUAUAGGAUUAGUGCCCCUAUAAAAAGAGAUACCAGAGCUUGCUCUCCCUUUCUCUGUCUCUGUCUGCCAUGUGAGGACACAUCUAGAAGGCAGCUGUCUGCAAGCCAGGAAGAGUGUCCUUUCCAGGAACUGAAUCUGCUGGCAUCUGCUUUUGGAAUUUCCAGCCUCCCAAACUGUGAAAAAAUAAAUUUCUUUUGUUUAAGCCAUCCAGUGAAUGGCAUUUUGUUAUGUCAUCACUAGAUGACUAAGUCAAUAGUUUGCAGCGAUUAGGAAUAUCUUUUUGGGGACCACUAUUCAACCCAUUACAACUGGGUAUCAUUUGAAGCUUUUUGGUUAUAUUUUCAUUUUCACAGCCCAGGAUUAAAAGAGCCCUCGUCAGAUGUGUAUUUUGGAGAGGAUUACCAGUUUUCUAUGCAGUGGCUAUAUCUGCUGCCAAAGACUUUGCUGGCUGGGAAAACACUGAUUUCUUCAAGGGAAACGUCGUAAGGCAGGAGGGUGCAUGACAACUUGUAAAAGUGGGGUUGAUAACAGAGAUAGAAACACUCAGUUUUUCGCAUUGGGUUAGAAUUAUCUACAAGACAGUUUGAAGAUGGGAAAAUAUUUUGACCCAUCUCUGAUAGUUUAGAGUAAUAUUAAAAUUGACUACACAAAUAAAUAAAAUGCAUAUAGGGAUUAAAAAUACCUAUUAUUUCAUAUGCAAUGUAAUACGUUGCUUAAGUUCUUUAUUGCAGUGGAAACAAAAAAAAGAAAGAAAUACAGUAGACAAGCCAAAAUAAUUUGCAUAAAACACAACGGAAAGUGGCUGAGAAGAGGACAAUUUAGGAAAAUGAUCUCUCCAGGAAUGCUGCCAAGGAAUUAUCAUGCUCCUCACGAACCCAGCAUGGAGUCUGUGUUUCUGCUCAGCUUCCUCUCUUCCACAGCCUGCUGGCCCUCUCAGCUCUGUGCUGGCUCAGAUGCAGGUGCCUACAGGGUAAGUCGGUGCUCUUGAUCAUGAAGCUGCAUACUUACCUGGACCAGUUUGCAGGAGAAGCUGAAAGAGGAGAUCUGGCAGGAGCUAGAGGAGUUUGGGGCCUGACUGCUACUCCAACAACAAGAUAAACCAGCAAUUCAGCAACAACAUGCAUAAGCUGCAAUAGAUCCUGAACUCACACUCACCUUUCUAGGACAAACAGGGUGUUGCUCCCCUGUCAUUUAAAAAAUCAUUUACAAAUUUUAUUCGUGGCCAAUUCUCACUUGGAAAGAUAUAUGGAAGACAAAUGUGGCAAAGGGAGUUUCAGUUAAGCCAAAUUGAAACAAGAGAAAGCAACAUUUCAUUUAAUUUUGCAACUUUAAUGUAAUUGUGCUCUAAAUUGUGGACUUUGGAUUAAUAGCAAAAUUCCAAGUUGUGGAAUAUUAUCUUCUGGUUUUGAAUACAUCCUAGCACUUUAUCAUAUUCUAUAUACUAACAUUAUAUAGUGCUUAUUAUAGAGAGUGGGUUUAGUAGUCCCUAAUAUUCAUGUCUUUAUAAAAGCUGAAUUUGUAAUAUUCUUUCAAGUAUCAUUGACAAUUUCCUGUACCAAGCAAAAUGAUAUCAUGAUAAUUAAAAUUAAAAUUCUGACAUCUGGAACAGGAAGCUCAGUUAAGCAAAAUUUAUUCGGAAAAAAGAUGUCUUACCAGGGCUGUGUAUUAGACUUUAUUUUAGGUUAAGAGAAAAAUAUGAUUUAUAGGUUUCCUGAGACUAAAUCGUUAACACAAUAUUACAUACUAUAAGCAGAUAAGUUCCAAGCACAAUCCUUGGCAUAGUUUAAGGAGUCUAACAAAGAAAGAAGGAAUGGAAUUAAUGGUGAUGUUGAUGAAGAGGGAGGUUGUGAUGAUGGUGAUGUGAGAACACAACGAGCUGUAAUAAAUAAAGAAAAAUCAUCCACUACUGUUUUUAAGGCAUAAAUACACAGUAGGUCUUAUAGAAAACUGGAAAAGUCACCUAUUAAUCGGCAACUCUAAUGAUCAAUUUAUCUUGUAACCUUAAGGUGUGAUCUGUUCUUCAAAUUUAUCUUACUCUCUCCACUCGUGCUCCUUUGUGAGUUAUCAUACCCUUUCAUUAGCUCACCUAUCAAAUGUCAGUGACCUCUGUUCGAUUAAGGACUAGAAUAGAAUAGAAUAGAAUAGAAUAGAACAGAACAGAACAGAACAGAACAGAACAGAACAGAACAGAACAGAACAGAACAGAACAGAACAAUUUGGCUUUCAGGCUUACAUGGCAAAAAGCAUACCAUCUUUGGGUAGAAAGAAAUACCUUUAUUCAGCAAAGACCUAUAAACAUAGCAGACUUUUUGGUGUUGCCGACUGAGCAGUAUAGACCUGUAUCUGUUUUAGAUGAUUAUGUUACUCUUGCCCAUAAUGGUCCAAAAUAGGAACUUUUUUUAAAAAAGAUGUUGAGAGAGGCGAGGGAUUUGCAGGAUGCGCCACAGAGCCGUUUUGUUUUGAAAGUGUAAAAGAAGUAUAAUACAUAAUUUCUGAUUAGUUUUUUUAAAACUACAAAAUGUUGUUUUUUCCACUAUUCUUCUGAGGGAUGUUCACCAAUAUUCUGGUUUUCCUCUGGACACAUGGUUGAAUUGCACUUCCUCACUCCCCUCCCCAUAGCCUACCAUGCUUGCAGUUAGUUAGGCACAACCAAUGACCUGCUGUAGCCAACGAAAUGAGAGCAGAAGUGAAGUGUUCACUUAUGUUUGUCCUACUUCUUGCAAUAAGUAAUUUGAGGCAGUUGUGACCUUGGCCAUGGAUAUGGUGGUACAUCAUUUGCACUGUUAAGAUUAUGACAAAAACAUUGCACAUAUUCAAUUUAUUUCAUAUUAAAAACAAAUAAAAUAUUUUGAACUCACCAUAAAAUUGCUUGAUUAAAACAUGGCUACUAUGUACAUUCUAAAUAUACUUCUCUUUAUUGGAAAAAUAUUAAUUAAAAUAAUUAUUACUUUAACAGAAACUCUAAGUGAUUAGUGCUUCAUAAUGAUUGCCCACAGAUUUAGAAUACUUAUUAAUUCUAUAAUAAUGUAGUCUUAAGAAUUAUAUGUGUUUAACUUUUUCAGGCUAAAAUAAUGUGUUACGUAUAAAGAUUUAAUUGUAGGCACAUGACUCUGAACUCCCUUUUCCCAAGUGUAGAGAUUGUUGUGACAAGUCCUGAAAUGGAGCCUCCAUCAGCCUGAGUGACUACAAUGAGCUGAAAUCAGUGCUGCUCCAUUUGGACAUUCAAGAUGAGUGAGAUAAAAAAAAAAAAUUGUUUUGUGUUAAGCCACUGAGAAUAGGGUGGUGUUUGUUACUGCAGCCUGACAUAGCCCACCCUGACAAGUACAGAUGGCGGCCUGUAGUGCUUACAUACCAAAAAAGAAUAAUCUUAGAAUGCACAGUGUAAAGCCACUCAGUCACUUGUCAUAAAAUUUAUACGAUGAGAAAGAGGCCACACAGAUCCGCAGAUGGUGGACCAAACUCCUUGGUUGGUUGGUAUUGGGAGAACAAGUGUUAGGCCUGGGGAGAAUGUGUGGGUAUCCAUCUGUCUUUGGCCAAGUGAACACGCUAGUGUUCCAGGUCUUUAGGCAAAAGCAGAAAAGAGAUGACAGCUUUCAGCUCAACAGAUAACUUAAGAUGCCAAACUUUUCUGCUGUGUGCCUUAUUUUUUUGAAGAAGCCCAGAGAUCCCCAGUUCAACAAGUAACUAUAUAUAAUAAGCAUGAACUUAUGUUUGCCC
rnacentral:lncRNA from 1 species